rfam:Gossypium arboreum cultivar AKA8401 contig_509_3, whole genome shotgun sequence.
GGUCAUUAUUUUCAUCUAUUUUUAUUGUUAAAAACUGACCUGACUGAUGGAAUAACCAGACAAUUACACAUGGCACACCACGUAUACCUUAUGCUGACGUACAAGGACCAGUUUUCAACAGUAAAAAUAGAUGAAAGUUUUAAUA